AUACAAGAUGCCCAGUUCUAUUUGAAUUUCAGGAAAAAAAAAUCAGCAUGCAUAUGCCUGACGUAAUAUUUGGGACAUACUUAUACAAAAAAAAGGUAUUCAUUCUUUAUCUGAAAUUCAAAUUUAACUUGGCAUUUUGUAUUU
ensembl:miRNA Gm25507 predicted gene, 25507